GAUUAAGAACGCAGCGAAAUGCGAUAAGUAAUGUGAAUUGCAGAAUUCAGUGAAUCAUCGAAUCUUUGAACGCACAUUGCGCCCCUCGGUAUUCCGUGGGGCAUGCCUGUUCGAGCGUCAUUUACCCCUCAAGCACUGCUUGGUGUUGGGCGUCUGUCCCGCUUCGCGCGCGGACUCGCCCCAAAGGUAUUGGCAGCGGUCGUGCCAGCUUCUCGCGCAGCACAUUGCGCUUCUCGAGGCGGUCGAUCGGCGUCCACGAAGCUCACCUCCACCGUUUGACCUCGGAUCAGGUAGGGAUACCCGCUGAACUUAAGCAUAUCAAUAAGCGGAGGA
rnacentral:misc_RNA from 1 species